rnacentral:tRNA from 1 species
GCUACGAUAGUUUAUUUUCAAAACACUAGCCUGUGACGCUAGAAACGGAACCCCCACCCUCGCAGCU